UGAUACUCCUCCUCCAUUGCCACUCUAUUUAGCAAUUUACUCUUCUGCUCUCUUUUUUUUUUCUUUCUUUCAAGUUUCACCAUGCAAAGACAGAAAAUAUAAGAAAAUGCUUCAUUUGGUAUUCUUGGUUUUCCUAUAAAAUGAAUAUAUCGACCUAUCCAAGGCUAGUAGCUUGAUUUUUGUAGUGGGUAACUUCAAAAGGAAGAGUCUCUCAAGACCAGGAGUUUGGUUCUCGGCGGUGGGAAAAUGAUUCAU